rnacentral:misc_RNA from 1 species
UUUCCGUAGGUGAACCUGCGGAAGGAUCAUUAAAGUUAUAGUCCCCCGGCCCUCUGGGCUGGGGUCUUCUAUACCACCCUUUGUUUAUUACACCUUUGUUACUUUGGCAGGCCUGCCCUCGGGCUGCUGGCUCCGGCCGGCUUGCGUCUGCCAGAGGACCUAAACUCUGUUUGUAUAUGAAGUCUGAGUACUAUAUAAUAGUUAAAACUUUCAACAACGGAUCUCUUGGCUCUG